ACUCAAGCAAAAAUACACUUACAAAAAUAUACAAAAACUUACACAAUUACGUUAAUUCCCAACAUUUAGCAAAAGCAAGGAAUGAUAAAUAACUAGGCCUUUGCACCUUAUGGGAUUCUUAAACUCACUGAAAACAUUCUGAAGCCGUGUUAAUGGCUCUUACUGUACUGUAAAAAAUGUAUCUUAAUUUCAGGAAAUUUCCUAAAGCCCAGGAAGAGAACAGAGAGUGUGCUUGCUUGCUUUGCUGAGUUGAAACCCUGCAGAUGACUCUUCAUUGUCCUCUGAUACUACCAGGUCCAUGGUGCAGCCUUCUUGCAGCUAGUUCUCCUCUCAUGAUUCUACCUGCAGCAUAUGCAGAGGUUCCAAGCUUCUGCUAAUUU
rnacentral:lncRNA from 1 species